UUUUGCUCAUACUUUCCUCGUAUCUCGAGGUUUCAUUGUACAUUUCUGAAUCCCGUCCUAAUAACAGAGGAGUACCUUUGCCAGUAUUGCAACACAGCUAGAAUGAAUUAUUGUGUUAAAUAUGUGGAAAAUGCAUGCUUAAAGUACUGUUAUUUUCUAAAAAUAUUCUGUAUGUCUAUUUUUUACAAGAAAAAAUAGCUAAAAGUUGUUAAUUUAUUUAUUAGUUCAAAGGGGCUUUGUCCCUAAAGGACUAUUGUUUUUGUUUUGCAUUGGUUCACUAUAAAUAUCCGUUUCACUUUUCAAACUGUUCCCACCAAACGUUAAGAGUCCCUAGUGUGGGAUUAAUACUCUCUAUCUUAGUGCCCUCUAUAACUAUGUUAGGGUUAACCUGUAUAACCUACAAGGAUUGCCAGUUUAGGCGAGAUAUCUAGGUAGUCAUCAUAAUACGUUCCUUAUUUUUUAUUAUUUUUAAAUUAAAUUGAAAGUAAUAAACUAGUUUUCAAGAAUCUAGUUAAACUAGAUUUGCAUUCAACUCUGGUUUAUUGUGUUAAUGAUGUUUUGCUGUAACAAAUAUGAAUUUUUUGUUUAAGUAUAAUAAUUUAAAAUGUUUUUUCUAGAGAAUGAAGUACUGCCACUAAGUCAUAUUGGAUAUGUUGCAAGAUGCUUCUUUGCACCCAAAUGGUUAAAGCCUUCCAGAACUGGUACUUUGAUCUAACUUCUAUUCCUAAUAAAUAAUCCAGCUGCAUACAGUUUACUCAAUUUCUGCCAUGUGUAAGGAGCUGUUCUCAAAACAUUGGGUGACAAAGAAUUCACUUUUACAAAAAUCGAGCAGGAUAUUAAAGACAGCGAACUGUAGAACAAAUAUGGCAAAGCUGAUUGCAAUCUAUGUUGAAUUUUAUUAUUGAAAAAAAUUAUGCUCUUCA